rnacentral:rRNA from 1 species
CCUACGGGAGGCAGCAGUAAGGAAUCUUCCACAAUGGACGAAAGUCUGAUGGAGCAACGCCGCGUGCAGGAUGAAGGCUUUCGGGUCGUAAACUGCUUUUAUAUGGGAAGAUUAUGACGGUACCAUAUGAAUAAGGACCGGCUAACUACGUGCCAGCAGCCGCGGUAAUACGUAGGGUCCAAGCGAUAUCCGGAAUUACUGGGCGUAAAGCGUGUGUAGGUGGAUUAAUAAGUGUGAUGCGAAAUCCGGCGGCUCAACCGUUUGGACUGUGUCGCAUACUGUUAGUCUAGAGGACGGCAGAGGUAAGUGGAAUUACGGGUGUAGCAGUGAAAUGCGUAGAUAUCCGUAGGAACACCAAUGGCGAAGGCAGCUUACUGGGCCACACCUGACACUGAGACACGAAAGCGUGGGGAGCGAACAGGAUUAGAUACCCUGGUAGUCCACGCCGUAAACGAUGCAUACUAUUAGUAUGGGGUAUCGACCCCCUGUGCUGAGAAGCUAACGCGAUAAGUAUGCCGCCUGGGGAGUACGAGCGCAAGCUUAAAACUCAAAGGAAUUGACGGCUGAGAGNGCGAGACGACACGAGGGAGAGG